rnacentral:rRNA from 1 species
UACGUAGGGUGCAAGCGUUAUCCGGAAUUAUUGGGCGUAAAGAGCUCGUAGGCGGUUUGUCGCGUCUGCUGUGAAAACUGGAGGCUCAACCUCCAGCCUGCAGUGGGUACGGGCAAACUAGAGUGCGGUAGGGGAGAUUGGAAUUCCUGGUGUAGCGGUGGAAUGCGCAGAUAUCAGGAGGAACACCGAUGGCGAAGGCAGAUCUCUGGGCCGUAACUGACGCUGAGGAGCGAAAGCGUGGGGAGCAAACAGG